CCCCAAUGUUGGAGGUGGUACCUGGUGGGAGGUUCUUGGAUCAUGGUAAUAGAUUUCUCAUGAAUCGUCUAUUGACAUCCCCUUGGUGCUGUUCUCAUGAUAGUGAGUUCUCACAAUAUCUAUUUGUUUAAAUGUGUGCAGCACCUCCUCCCUCAUUGUCUCUGGCUCCUGUUUCCACCAUGUGAGGAACCUUGCUCUCCCUUCACCUUCUGCCAUGAUUUUAAGUUUCCUGAAAUCAUCCCAGAACCUGAGCAGAUGCUAGCACCAUGAUUCCUGUACAGCCAAUGGAACUGCUGUCUUCAGUCAGGGGAACUUCAGCUGGCACCUCUCUCUUGCAGCUACGAAGUGACAUUGUGGUGACACACCUCAUACAGACUAUCCCGGUAAGCCAGGACAAGUCACCAUUAAGAUCCUUCACAAACAUCCCUGGGCAAGUGGGAAUCGUAAGAGCCACCACCUCCUUAGCUCAACCACAGCUCCAAAUGCAGUCUGUCCCAGCUGGCAAACGCCUCAAACAACAAUCAUGCAUCGUGCUCCUAUUCUGGGUUUUUAUAAAACACUUUUAUAUAGAGAUAGAGAUAGCACAGUAAAUGUACUUAAGAGGCACUCUAACAUAGAGGACAGGAAAACACACUGUGGGGCGCUGCCCCAGCCGUCUCCACAGUGGAGAAAGUGCGAGGGUUAAAUACACGUGGCGGGGUGUCAGACAGCAGGUAGUUACAGAGCGCCACGCUCCACGCCCUUCCACGUGACUGACUCGUCCCACAUUGAGAACUCGUCUUCUUUAUCCCCUUGGUGGGUAGGAGCAGUAACAGAAACAAAGUCAUUUUCUGAGGGUGGGCGACGUCAAACUAUCUGGUACCGAGACAGCGAUUCUUAUCCAGAACUCAUCUAGAAAUAAUUGCCGAAGGCCAGCCUGGCUCAUGGCCCCAGGCUGAGGGCUGCUCUGUAAAGGGUGGGACAGGCUCUGGGGGUCUCGGGCUGAUGCAGUAUCUCUCAGACACCUGUACAUUCACACACUCGCAUGUCCCCGGGUAAAGUGCACUUCCAAUGGCUGAUACAAAAAUAGACUGGCACACUCUUCGACACAAUGAGGGUAUCUUUUAGGAGUUUUCUCCCAGCUUCUGCAGACUCUCCUCCCCCGUAUGCUUAAGCCCUUCACACUCAAAGUUGGAACAGAUCUGGAGAAGGCCCUGGACCACGCUUGCAAAGUCUGUGACUGCUGGGGAGAAAGACCGGGCUGUGGCAGCUAGGGGUUCUCGCUAGUGGACAGCGGGCAGAGCCUCUCUGUUCUCAGCACGUGCCUGCUCUUCCCUUGCUCUGAGAAGUCCAUAGCUCACGGCUCCUCUUGGCUACACCCAAGACUCCCUGGAAAGCUAGUACUGCUUCUCCCCAAACCAUGUAGAGAGGAAGAAAAGCCUGGUAUUUUGCGUUCUGUUUUUUUUUCAUUUAAAACUCAUAGUUUUAAAAAUAGAGAACUUUCACUUUGGUCAAGUGUAUUCCCAGAUAUUUUAUUUUAUCUGUUGCUAUUACAAAUGGAAUUUUUUUCCUUUUUCAGAUUGUUUGCUGUUGACAUAUAGCAAUGCUACUGGUUUUUAUUGGUUGAUUUUGUUUCCUGCAAUUUUACUGAAUUUAUCAUUUCUAAGUGUUUUUGAUGGAUUCUUGAGAUUUCUUUAAAUAUAAAAUCUAUCAGCAGCAAACAAAGAUAAUUUGACUUCUUUCUAAUUUGGA
ensembl:lncRNA